UACGUAGGGGGCGAGCGUUGUCCGGAUUUAUUGGGCGUAAAGAGCGUGUAGGCGGCCCGGUAAGUCCGUUGUGAAAGUCAAAGGCUCAACCUUUGAACGCCGAUGGAUACUGCCGGGCUAGAGUCCGGAAGAGGCGAGUGGAAUUCCUGGUGUAGCGGUGGAAUGCGCAGAUAUCAGGAGGAACACCAAUAGCGAAGGCAGCUCGCUGGGACGGUACUGACGCUGAGGCGCGAAAGCGUGGGGAGCGAACAGG
rnacentral:rRNA from 1 species